UCAUCAAGUUGUUCCAAAGUAGAUGUUGCCAUUGUGGAACUGUUGCAGCAGUCUUUGCUUCUUUGACAACAACAGAAUAUUGAACAGAGAUCGUCGGAUCGUCUUAGCCUAAGCCUCCUGGAGUGUUUAGACAGUUUAUGUGCAUCCCAGCGAAUAUGUCAUUGCUGGAAACCGGCCUUCUUCGCCACAUCCCACCCAAGGCUCACUUCUCCCACGCCGGGAAUGGAAUCCAGGAGGAGGGUUCUUUGACUGAGCUAACACAGAUCGACAAGCAGACACUUUCAUAGAGGUGUACCCUAGACAUUGUUGGCAUCCGGUAACGGGCGAUAGCCGCAUCACAUAUCUUGUCUUGCCAGCCUAGUUUAACGUCUUAUCUUAGUUGUCAACCGGUUUGGAAUGUCAGUACAAGUUCUUGUUUUGUACGAAGUUAAACAAUACUUUGUGUUGAACAUUUGCAUACUGUGUACUUUUAUUGUCGGGAUACAGUAAAACUGUCAGUAGCAAUUA